AUUGAACGCUGGCGGCAGGCUUAACACAUGCAAGUCGAGCGGAGAUGAGGUGCUUGCACCUUGUCUUAGCGGCGGACGGGUGAGUAAUGCUUAGGAAUCUGCCUAUUAGUGGGGGACAACAUUCCGAAAGGAAUGCUAAUACCGCAUACGUCCUACGGGAGAAAGCAGGGGAUCUUCGGACCUUGCGCUAAUAGAUGAGCCUAAGUCGGAUUAGCUAGUUGGUGGGGUAAAGGCCUACCAAGGCGACGAUCUGUAGCGGGUCUGAGAGGAUGAUCCGCCACACUGGGACUGAGACGCGGCCCAGACUCCUACGGGAGGCAGCAGUGGGGAAUAUUGGACAAUGGGGGGAACCCUGAUCCAGCCAUGCCGCGUGUGUGAAGAAGACCUUAUGGUUGUAAAGCACUUUAAGCGAGGAGGAGGCUACUGAGACUAAUACUCUUGGAUAGUGGACGUUACUCGCAGAAUAAGCACCGGCUAACUCUGUGCCAGCCGCCGCGGUAA
rnacentral:rRNA from 1 species